GAGGGUAUAGCUCAGUCGUAGAGUAUGUGCUUAGUGUUCGCAAGAUUCUGGGUUCCAUCCCCAGUACCUCCA
rnacentral:tRNA from 1 species